rfam:Octopus bimaculoides Scaffold36286_contig_1, whole genome shotgun sequence.
AGCACGUUGGCCGAGUGGUUAAGGCGUUGGACUUAAGUUCCAAUGGACAAGUGUCCGCGUGGGUUCGAACCCCACUCGUGCUA